CCCAGGUGCUCCUUCAGGUGUCUCUCCUGGGGCCGUCACUGGGAUCGUCAUCGGGUCACUGGUGGGGGCGGCGCUCGUCGGAGCCGGGGUCUAUCUCCUCUACUCUCGCUGCCGGAAUGAAACCCCCAAGGAGAACGGGGCACCCGUCCUGGUGUACGAGAACCUGCCCCCGACAGCCUGGGUGGGGUCUGCGGCCAAGCCCGGGAGCCCCCCUGACCCCAGCCCCACAUACCAGACGCUGCAGCCCCGACAGCCGGACCUGUACGAGGAGCUGAAGAAGUGACGCCCCCUCCUGCCCCCCGUGCAUGGUGGGAGGGGCCCAGGGCAUGCUGGGAAAGGCGAGUCCCUGAGCUUGGGUCCCGCCGCCCCGGGGACGUCCCGUCGAUGAAGCAUUAGAGGGCAGGAACAGUCACCACCUGGCUUGGGGGGUCCGUCCGUCCAUCUGUCCAUGCUGCUUCCCUGGGGCCCAUCACCGCAGCGUCUGGGCCCCUGCGAGGAGAUCAGAAAGUCGGCACCUGUGACUGGCUCCGGCUCCAUUGUGCCCAGCACAGGAUUUGGCUUAGUGACGUCUCACGACCAAACACCUCCAGCCUGGGCACGUGCCCUGUUCUCUGCCCGCCUGACCUGAGCCUGGCGCUCUGUGUCCCACAACAGGCCGCGGGAGCUCCCCACUGCACAGAGGGGCCCGGGCGGCUGAGUGACUGGCCUGGGUCCCACGGGGAGUCUGUGGGGCUGCAGGGACUCAGACCUGGGACUCCCCAGUGCCUGGCUGGUGCCCAAACCAGGGCCAGGCGCCCCUGCCCAGGGCUUCCCCCUGACCCUCCCCCCAGCGCCCAGCCACGCCUCUUCCCCUCCCUGGGGCAGUUCUCCCCUGCAGAGCUGUGAGCAGCGAAUCCAACCUGCCUGGCCGGGACCCGGGG